AUACGGAGGGUGCAAGCGUUACUCGGAAUCACUGGGCGUAAAGCGCGCGCAGGCGGCUUGAUAAGUUGGAUGUGAAAGCCUACGGCUCAACCGUAGAACUGCAUCCAAAACUGUCAAGCUAGAGUCUGGGAGGGGAAGAUGGAAUUAGUUGUGGAGGGGUAAAAUCCGUAGAGAUAACUAGGAAUACCAAAAGCGAAGGCGAUCUUCUGGAACAGUACUGACGCUGAGGCGCGAAAGCGUGGGGAGCAAACAGGAUUAGAAACCCUAGUAGUCC
rnacentral:rRNA from 1 species